rnacentral:rRNA from 1 species
ACAGAUCGUUCAGAGUUUGAUCCUGGCUCAGGACGAACGCUGGCGGCGUGCUUAACACAUGCAAGUCGAGCGGGGAUUGAUCCUUCGGGGUCAAUUCUAGCGGCGGACGGGUGAGUAACGCGUGAGCAAUCUGUCCUACACAGGGGGAUAACACUUGGAAACAGGUGCUAAUACCGCAUAAGACCACGACACCACAUGGUGAUGGGGUAAAAGAUUUAUCGGUGUAGGGUGAGCUCGCGUCCGAUUAGGUAGUUGGUGAGGUAACGGCCCACCAAGCCUGCGAUCGGUAGCCGACCUGAGAGGGUGAUCGGCCACAUUGGAACUGAGACACGGUCCAA